rnacentral:rRNA from 1 species
GUAGUCCUAGCCCUAAACGGUGCAUGCUUGCUGUAGGAGGAAUCGACCCCUUCUGUGGCGAAGCUAACGCGAUAAGCAUGCCGCCUGGGGAGUACGGUCGCAAGAUUAAAACUCAAAGAAAUUGACGGGGGCCUGCACAAGCGGUGGAGUAUGUGGCUUAAUUCGAUGCAACGCGAAGAACCUUACCUGGCCUUGACAUGCAAGUGGUAGAACCAUGAAAGUGGGACGACCCCGCAAGGGGAGCUUGCACAGGUGCUGCAUGGCUGUCGUCAGCUCGUGUCGUGAGAUGUUGGGUUAAGUCCCGCAACGAGCGCAACCCUUAUGUCCUGUUGCCACUCAAACGAGAGUUUGGAGCACUCUGGACAGACUGCCUCGCUUAAACGGGGAGGAAGGUGGGGAUGACGUCAAGUCAGUAUGGCCCUUACGGCCAGGGCUGCACACGUACUACAAUGCCCGGCACAGAGGGAAGCAAGACCGUCAGGUGGAGCAAAUCCCAAAAAACCGGGCCCAGUUCGGAUUGCUGUCUGCAACUCGACAGCAUGAAGUUGGAAUCGCUAGUAAUGGCGCAUCAGCUACGGCGCCGUGAAUA